CAGGGCUUGACAUCCCGCGAACCCUCCUGAAAGGGAGGGGUGCCUUCGGGAGCGCGGAGACAGGUGCUGCAUGGUUGUCGUCAGCUCGUGUCGUGAGAUGUUGGGUUAAGUCCCGCAACGAGCGCAACCCCUGUCCUUUGUUGCCAGCGGUUUGGCCGGGCACUCAAAGGAGACUGCCGGAGACGAUCCGGAGGAAGGUGGGGAUGACGUCAAAUCCUCAUGGCCCUUAUGUCCUGGGCGACACACGUGCUACAAUGGCCUGCACAAAGGGCUGCGAUGCCGCGAGGCAAAGCCAAUCCCCAAAAGCAGGUCCCAGUUCGGAUUGAAGGCUGAAACCCGCCUUCAUGAAGCCGGAAUUGCUAGUAAUCGCGGAUCAGCCAUGCCGCGGUGAAUACGUUCCC
rnacentral:rRNA from 1 species